rnacentral:piRNA from 1 species
UUCUGCCACCAGAUUCGACAUCCUGC